CUAUAAUAGAAAGUGUAAAACCAUGUUAAAUACACACAACAUUUUGCAGCCAGGGCGUUUCAUUAUUCAGUUUUUGGCGGUUGUAUAUUUCUUGGAGGAGGAGUAUCAUGACCUCAAAUUACCGCCAGUCACCUUGCCUGCUUCCAGUUUCCGAAACACCCAUACAAUGAGAUCUGCUCCCACCCAGGCAGACGUCCCUUUGUGAUCAAAGCAGGAAACCUUUGGAACAACACGACAUCAACCCGCGACGCUCAGGUGACAGAAAGCAACGAGGUGACAGAGAAGGAUUUGAGUAGCUUUAUGACACAUAGGAAAUGUAUACUUAUACUCCACAAAUACAUAAAUCCAUCUAUCCAUUUUCUCCACCGCUUGUCCUGCUCAGGGUGACGGGGGGGAUGAGGCCUAUCCCAGCACCUCUUACAAGUGAAUACAUCUUCAGUUAGUAUAAAUAUAGUAAGCUAUACUGUUCAUAUGUACAAAGAUUUUCACUUUUAAUGGAGGUUUUUGGUAUUUUAGCAUAGUUUUAAAGACUUGUUGAAUUUCUCAUGGUGCCCCUAAAUGCCCGAAAUGUUGUUUUAACCCUUCACUGUAACAUAGUGUUCAAGCCAAAACUGAUCAACUUGUACAUUUGAGAUCAGUAAAAACAUCUUUCUUUUAGCCUGAAACUUUAGGACUUUUCCUAAAGUGACCCAGAAUAUACAAAAAUGGACCGUCAAAAACAUUGUUACAUUCUUCACAUUCAAUAAACAUUUAUUGAAAUCAUGAUGCCUGUUAUGUUUUCCUGUUUUAGGUAA